CGCACGGCGGAUGCCUUGGCGGCAGGAGGCGAUGAAGGACGUGGAAAGCUGCGAUAAGCUACGGGGAGCUGCUACACAAGCGUUGAUCCGUAGAUCUCCGAAUGGGGAAACCCAAUCAGGAAAAAACCUGAUUACCCUUGGCUGAAUACAUAGGCCAUGAGGAGCGAACUCGGGGAACUGAAACAUCUCAGUACCCGAUGGAAGAGAAAGAAAUCUCGAUGCCCUUAGUAGCGGCGAGCGAAACGGGCUCAGCCCAAACCAUACAGAUGUAAGAUUGCAGUCGUUGUCUGUGUGGGGUUGUGGGUUGUUACAGGGAAGUCUGCAUACUUCCCAAAUGUCUCGAAGAAGGAAAUAAAACCUUCUGGAAAGUUGGACCAUAGAGCGUAAAAGUCGCGUAUAUGCAACUCCUUCGAGCAUUGUUAACUACACCCCGAGUAACUCCGGGACACGUGGAACCCUGGAGGAAUCUAGCGAGGACCAUCUCGCAAGGCUAAAUACUACCUGCCGA
rnacentral:rRNA from 1 species